CUUGAUCCGGAGCCGAGCUCUGCCAGCGGAUCAGGCGCACAAGUCAUUUCUGGCAGAGGCGGGGGAACCACAACCGGCAGCGGGGGCUGCCUUGGGGUGAAGUCCGUCAGCAGCAAGCCUCUCCAGUGAAGGAUCCUACGGGAUACCCCUGUGCCAAAGCUUGCCCGCGCGGACCGGGUCGAACGAACUCUCUGACCCGAAUCCGACAGCUAACUCCGCAGGCUUUUCCAGAGAGGAACC
rnacentral:sRNA from 2 species